UACAGAGGUCCCAAGCGUUGUUCGGAUUCACUGGGCGUAAAGAGCUCGUAGGCGGUCUGUCGCGUCGGCUGUGAAAACCCGGAGCUCAACUCCGGGCCUGCAGUCGAUACGGGCAGACUGGAGUUCGGCAGGGGAGACUGGAAUUCCUGGUGUAGCGGUGAAAUGCGCAGAUAUCAGGAGGAACACCGGUGGCGAAGGCGGGUCUCUGGGCCGUAACUGACGCUGAGGAGCGAAAGCGUGGGGAGCGAACAGG
rnacentral:rRNA from 1 species